GACGAACGCUGGCGGCGUGCCUCAAACAUGCAAGUCGAGCGGACGGAGACCGAACCGCAAGGGGAGGUCGAAGUUAGCGGCGAACGGGUGAGUAACACGUGGGUAACCUACCCUAAAGUCUGGGACAACGGCCCGAAAGGGCCGCUAAUACCGGAUAAUGUCUUCGGGUCGCAUGGCCUGGGGAAGAAAGCCGAAAGGCGCUUAUGGAUGGGCUCGCGUCCCAUCAGCUAGUUGGUAAGGUAACGGCUUACCAAGGCGACGACGGGUAGCUGGUCUGAGAGGAUGGUCGGCCACACUGGGACUGAGAUACGGCCCAGACUCCUACGGGAGGCAGCAGUUGGGAAUAUUGGGCAAUGGGCGAAAGCCUGACCCAGCGACGCCGCGUGAGGGAAGAAGGCCUUCGGGUCGUAAACCUCUGUCAUCGGGGACGAAGAAAGUGACGGUACCCGAGGAGGAAGCCCCUGCUAACUACGUG
rnacentral:rRNA from 1 species